AUAUUUCGAUCCACGAAAUGAUGCCACGAUCAAGAAGGCGGUUCGUCCAAGGCGAGGCUCAGCCAUUGCACUCAGGCUGUGCUGACCUUUGCGAAUUCCCUAAAUGUGGGAAUCUUGACUGCAUAAUUUCUGACAGUGGGAGACUGCGUUCACGCUCUCCCCUG
ensembl:snRNA U1 U1 spliceosomal RNA